rnacentral:rRNA from 1 species
AUUGAACGCUGGCGGCAGGCCUAACACAUGCAAGUCGAGCGAGCGGCGGACGGGUGAGUAAUGUCUGGGAAACUGCCUGAUGGAGGGGGAUAACUACUGGAAACGGUAGCUAAUACCGCAUACCAUCAGAUGUGCCCAGAUGGGAUUAGCUAGUAGGUGGGGUAACGGCUCACCUAGGCGACGAUCCCUAGCUGGUCUGAGAGGAUGACCAGCAAAACUGGAACGGAGACAAGGUACAGAAUCCUACGGGAGGCAGCAGUGGGGAAUAUUGCAAAAUGGGCGAAAGCCUGAUGCAGCCAUGACGCGUGAGUGAAGAAGGCGUUCGGGUUGUAAAGCACUUUCAGCGGGGAGGCGUUACCCGCAGAAGAAGCACCGGCUAACUCCGGGCCAGCAGCCGCGGUAAUUC